ensembl:lncRNA
GUAGCCUCUCUCAGCAGGCCAGAGCCUGACUGUGAGACCAGCAGCAGAAAGUAUAACCCUGGGAAUGUGUGCCAUCUUGCAUGAUAAAUAUCAGUGAUUUGCUCCAGGCUUCAGACUGUGACUCACAGGAAGUAACUGUUUGAGUUGGUUUGCACAGAUGGAGACCAUUCUUAGUCAACAUUCACAUAAAAAUCAGCCUGGGCCCUUUUCGUUUAGUUUUCUCUUUUUCCUCAUCUCCUUUUCAUUGUGUGCAGAGAGCUGAGGAGCUUUACUGUUUGACUUGGUGGGAGACAACACCUUUAUUUGCUUGCAGGAUCUUUGUGAGGUUUUCCUUCAAAUUUCACAAGGAUCUGCAACUUUUCACGGACACGAAGAUAAGAAAAGGGCAUCCUGCUGGUACGUUUAAGUCCUCCUCUUCUUUCUUUUAAGAAAUCUAUUACCCAGGGGUUUUGCCUUUCUCUUCACUUUCAAUUCAAACACUUGUAGCUUUAAUUCACCGAAGAAAUUAUUUAUUCCACAAAAGAUUUUCUGUCCUACGACAGGGCAGUGUGUUUAAGGAAACACACAAGGAAAGGAAAGGCAUAUUGUACUCUGAGUCUUCCUUUUACCUGCCUUAGAUUUUAUGUGCAUGAAGGUUGUAAUUAGCUUCUGUUUUAUUGCCUCCUUUGUUCUAAUCUGC